AUAAAAGUAUGAAUAAACUAUUAAGUAUUAGUGAAUCUAUUGUUUUGAUGGGAUACUCAUUCUACGAAACUAAUUUCAAAGAUCCAACCGUCAAACAUGUUUGUAUAUACUUCGAGAUCUCAUACGUCAAAAAUUACAAAAAACAAACAUUCAGAGAUCAAUUAAAGGGACAAAACUUUUCGACAGUUAUAAAAAGAAAAAUCACGAUUUAACGGUCAUUUUAACUCUGAUUUUGAUGAUUUUUUGCAGCUACA
rnacentral:lncRNA from 1 species